rnacentral:rRNA from 1 species
AGUGAACGCUGGCGGUAGGCCUAACACAUGCAAGUCGAACGGCAGCACAGUAAGAGCUUGCUCUUACGGGUGGCGAGUGGAGGACGGGUGAGGAAUACAUCGGAAUCUACUUUUUCGUGGGGGAUAACGUAGGGAAACUUACGCUAAUACCGCAUACGACCUACGGGUGAAAGCAGGGGAUCUUCGGACCUUGCGCGAUCGAAUGAGCCGAUGUCGGAUUAGCUAGUUGGCGGGGUAAAGGCCCACCAAGGCGACGAUCCGUAGCUGGUCUGAGAGGAUGAUCAGCCACACUGGAACUGAGACACGGUCCAGACUCCUACGGGAGGCAGCAGUGGGGAAUAUUGGACGAUGGGCGGAAGCCUGAUCCAGCCAUACCGCGUGGGUGAAGAAGGCCUUCGGGUUGUAAAGCCCUUUUGUUGGGAAAGAAAAGCAGCAGGUUAAUACCCCGCUGUUCUGACGGUACCCAAAGAAUAAGCACCGGCUAACUUCGUG